rnacentral:rRNA from 1 species
GCCAGAGCCAUAUCUCCCUGCAGUUCUUGCAUGGUUUCCACUGAAACUAAGCAGGGUUGAGCCUGGCCAGUAUGUGGAUGGGAGAGACUAAGGUUGCUGUUGGAA